rnacentral:lncRNA from 1 species
UUUCAGAUAGCAUGGCUAAGCAAGAAGCAAAGGUAUAUUGUUCAAAAAAUAUGUGGAACUAAUUUCAUAUAUUCCUGAAUAUCAUAUAUAUGAUUGAAUAAAUUUAUGUUAGUUAUUAUGUAUUAGAAUUAUUUGAAUCAUGAUUUCUAGUUUAUUAGCACACUGGAAACAGGGAGAAAACUUCUAUACUAUGCCAUCCUAAUGUUGAAACCGGUAGGCGAGGAAAGCCGUUUAGGGGAGUAAACAAAGUUGAGGCGCUGAUAAGAAGGAAGUAUCCGCUAAAGUACGAUGCUAGUAGUGACAGGAAAACAUGAUAAAGAUAAUCUAGUUCAUAAUGAUCUAAUAUGAAUUUAAUCAAUUAUGAAUAUGAUAGGAAGGAAUAAUUUGAAAUAAAAAACCCGCAUAGUAAAGAACAUGACUACAUAUAUGCAUGACGAAAUGAUAAAAAGCUAUGAAACUUUAAUCUUAUAUAUACUUAACGGUAUAAAGAUAAUUGAAUUAAGAAGAAUCAUAUGGGAAAAAAUAUUUGAUGACUACGAAUUAGAAG